CAGCCGCCGCGGGAAUACGUAGGUGGCAAGCGUUGUCCGGAAUUAUUGGGCGUAAAGCGCGCGCAGGCGGUUUCUUAAGUCUGGUGUGAAAGCCCCCGGCUUAACCGGGGAGGGUCACUGGAAACUGGGAGACUUAGAGUGCAGAAGAGGAGAGUGGAAUUCCAUGUGUAGCGGUGAAAUGCGUAGAUAUAUGGAGGAACACCAGUGGCGAGGGCGACUCUCUGGUCUGUAACUGACGCUGAGGCGCGAAAGCGUGGGGAGCAAACAGGAUUAGAUACCCCGGUAGUCCCUGUCUCUUAUU
rnacentral:rRNA from 1 species